AUUGAACGCCGGCGGCAUGCCUUACACAUGCAAGUCGAACGGUAACAGGUCUUCGGAUGCUGACGAGUGGCGAACGGGUGAGUAAUACAUCGGAACGUGCCUAGUAGUGGGGGAUAACUACUCGAAAGAGUGGCUAAUACCGCAUGAGAUCUACGGAUGAAAGCAGGGGAUCGCAAGACCUUGUGCUACUAGAGCGGCCGAUGGCAGAUUAGGUAGUUGGUGGGAUAAAAGCUUACCAAGCCGACGAUCUGUAGCUGGUCUGAGAGGACGAGCAGCCACUGGGACUGAGACACGGCCCAGAGUCGUAAGGGAGGCAGCAGUGGGGAAUUUUGGACAAUGGGCGAAAGCCUGAUCCAGCAAUGCCGCGUGCAGGAUGAAGGCCUUCGGGUUGUAAACUGCUUUUGUACGGAACGAAAAGCCCCGGGUUAAUACCCUGGGGUCAUGACGGUACCGUAAGAAUAAGCACCGGCUAACUACGUGCCAGCCGCCGCCGUAA
rnacentral:rRNA from 1 species